rnacentral:tRNA from 1 species
UCCCUGGUGGUCCAGUGGUAAGACUCUGUGCUCUCAAUGUAGAGGGCCCUGGUUUGAUCCCUGGUCAGGCAA